UGGCGAACGGGUGAGUAACACGUGGGCAAUCUGCCCUUCACUCUGGGACAAGCCCUGGAAACGGGGUCUAAUACCGGAUACUGACCCUCGCAGGCAUCUGCGAGGUUCGAAAGCUCCGGCGGUGAAGGAUGAGCCCGCGGCCUAUCAGCUUGUUGGUGAGGUAAUGGCUCACCAAGGCGACGACGGGUAGCCGGCCUGAGAGGGCGACCGGCCACACUGGGACUGAGACACGGCCCAGACUCCUACGGGAGGCAGCAGUGGGGAAUAUUGCACAAUGGGCGAAAGCCUGAUGCAGCGACGCCGCGUGAGGGAUGACGGCCUUCGGGUUGUAAACCUCUUUCAGCAGGGAAGAAGCGAAAGUGACGGUACCUGCAGAAGAAGCGCCGGCUAACUACGUGCCAGCAGCCGCGGUAAUACGUAGGGCGCAAGCGUUGUCCGGAAUUAUUGGGCGUAAAGAGCUCGUAGGCGGCUUGUCACGUC
rnacentral:rRNA from 1 species